rnacentral:rRNA from 1 species
AACGAACGCUGGCGGCAUGCCUAACACAUGCAAGUCGAACGAGACCUUCGGGUCUAGUGGCGCACGGGUGCGUAACGCGUGGGAAUCUGCCCCUUGGUUCGGAAUAACUUCGGGAAACUGAAGCUAAUACCGGAUAAUGACGUAAGUCCAAAGAUUUAUCGCCAAGGGAUGAGCCCGCGUAGGAUUAGCUAGUUGGUGGGGUAAAGGCUCACCAAGGCGACGAUCCUUAGCUGGUCUGAGAGGAUGAUCAGCCACACUGGGACUGAGACACGGCCCAGACUCCUACGGGAGGCAGCAGUGGGGAAUAUUGGACAAUGGGCGAAAGCCUGAUCCAGCAAUGCCGCGUGAGUGAUGAAGGCCUUAGGGUUGUAAAGCUCUUUUACCCGGGAUGAUAAUGACAGUACCGGGAGAAUAAGCUCCGGCUAACUCCGUGCCAGCAGCCGCGGUAAU